UACGAAGGGGGCUAGCGUUGUUCGGAAUUACUGGGCGUAAAGCGCGCGCAGGCGGUUCUUUAAGGCAGGGGGGAAAGCCCAGAGCUCAACUCUGGAAUUGCCUUUGAAACUAGAGAACUUGGGUACGGGAGAGGUGAGUGGAAUUCCGAGUGUAGAGGUGAAAUUCGUAGAUAUUCGGAAGAACACCAGUGGCGAAGGCGGCUCACUGGCCCGUUACCGACGCUCAGGCGCGACAGCGUGGGGAGCAAACAGG
rnacentral:rRNA from 1 species